rnacentral:tRNA from 1 species
GGGACCUUAGCUCAGUUGGUAGAGCGCUUCGUUUACACCGAAGAUGUCGACAGUUCGAGCCUGUCAGGUCCUA